AUCUUCGGAUGUGUAUAAAGUGGCGAACGGCUGAGUAACACGUGGGCAACCUGCCCUUUGCACUGGGAUAGCCUCGGGAAACCGAGGUUAAUACCGGAUACUCCAUAUUUGUCGCAUGGCGAAUAUGGGAAAGCUCCGGCGGCAAAGGAUGGGCCCGCGGCCUGUUAGCUAGUUGGUGGGGUAGUGGCCUACCAAGGCAAUGAUGGGUAGCCGGGUUGAGAGACCGACCGGCCAGAUUGGGACUGAGACACGGCCCAGACUCCUACGGGAGGCAGCAGUGGGGAAUCUUGCACAAUGGGCGAAAGCCUGAUGCAGCGACGCCGCGUGCGGGAUGAAGGCCUUCGGGUUGUAAACCGCUUUCAGCAGGGACGAGGCCGCAAGGUGACGGUACCUGCAGAAGAAGCCCCGGCUAACUACGUGCCAGCAGCCGCGGUAAUACGUAGGGGGCAAGCGUUAUCCGGAUUCAUUGGGCGUAAAGCGCGCGUAGGCGGUCUGUUAGGUCAGGAGUUAAAUCUGGGGGCUCAACCCCUAUCCGCUCCUGAUACCGGCAGGCUUGAGUCUGGUAGGGGAAGAUGGAAUUCCAAGUGUAGCGGUGAAAUGCGCAGAUAUUUGGAAGAACACCGGUGGCGAAGGCGGUCUUCUGGGCCAUGACUGACGCUGAGGCGCGAAAGCUAGGGGAGCGAACAGGAUUAGAUACCCUGGUAGUCCUAGCUGUAAACGAUGGACACUAGGUGUGGGGAGAUUAUACUUUCCGUGCCGCAGCUAACGCAUUAAGUGUCCCGCCUGGGGAGUACGGUCGCAAGACUAANACUCAAAGGAAUUGACGGGGGCCCGCACAAGCAGCGGAGCAUGUGGCUUAAUUCG
rnacentral:rRNA from 1 species